GUGGGACGUCUCACAUGGAGUUACAAAGGAACCGGUUAGAUGAAGAGGUCUGGAAAGGCCCGCCAGAGAAGGUAAAAGCCCUGUAGUUCAAAACUUGUUCCCUCCGAGACGGAUCCCGAGUAGUGCGGGGCACGUGAAACCCCGUAUGAAUCCGGCAGGACCAUCUGCCAAGGCUAAAUACUCCCUGGCGACCGAUAGUGAAGCAGUACCGUGAGGGAAAGGUGAAAAGCACCCCGGAAGGGGAGUGAAAUAGAUCCUGAAACCGUGUGCUUACAAGAAGUCAGAGCCCGAUCUAUGGGUGAUGGCGUGCCUUUUGUAGAAUGAACCGGCGAGUUACGUUCCCGUGCAAGGUUAAGGUGAAGAGCUGAAGCCGCAGCGAAAGCGAGUCUGAAUAGGGCGAAUGAGUACGUGGACGUAGACCCGAAACCGGGUGAUCUACCCCUGUCCAGGGUGAAGGUGCGGUAACACGCACUGGAGGCCCGAACCCACGCAUGUUGAAAAAUGCGGGGAUGAGGUGGGGGUAGCGGAGAAAUUCCAAUCGAACCCGGAGAUAGCUGGUUCUCCCCGAAAUAGCUUUAGGGCUAGCCUCGGAAAGAAGAAUCGUGGAGGUAGAGCACUGAUUGGGUGCGGGGCCCGCAAGGGUUACCAAGCUCAGUCAAACUCCGAAUGCCAUAGAUUUAGUUCCGGGAGUCAGACAGUGAGUGCUAAGAUCCAUUGUCAAAAGGGAAACAGCCCAGACCAUCAGCUAAGGUCCCCAAGUGUGUGUUAAGUGGGAAAGGAUGUGGAGUUGCACAGACAACCAGGAUGUUGGCUUAGAAGCAGCCACCAUUGAAAGAGUGCGUAAUAGCUCACUGGUCGAGUGACUCUGCGCCGAAAAUGUAACGGGGCUAAACACACCACCGAAGCUAUGGCUUGAUGCUUUGCAUCAGGGGUAGGGGAGCGUUGAAUGCGGGUUGAAGGUGUACCGGAAGGAGCGCUGGACUGCAUUCAAGUGAGAAUGCCGGUAUGAGUAACGAAAAGAUCUGUGAGAAUCAGAUCCGCCGAAAGCCUAAGGGUUCCUGAGGAAGGUUCGUCCGCUCAGGGUAAGUCGGGACCUAAGGCGAGGCCGAUAGGCGUAGUCGAAGGACAACAGGU
rnacentral:rRNA from 1 species